AGGACAUAAUUUCAUUUUUCAUGGGUUUGUAGUAUUCCAUGGUGUAUNNNNNNNNNNNNNNNNNNNNNNNNNNNNNNNNNNNNNNNNNNNNNNNNNNNNNNNNUCUGUACCUAGCAUCCUUCUUUUGUCUGAGUGUACCUGCAUGAACCAACUAUGAAAUGUGAAGCGUAUAAUCUAAAGAGGAAACAAAUGCCAGAGAUUAUAGUGAGGUCACUUUCAAAUUUGUUGUACAAUAAGCAUUUCCUUUGAACAUCAUGUUAGCACUCAAAAAGUUUUAAAUUUUGGAGCAUUUCAGAUUUAUUUUGUGAAUUUCGGAUGCUCAACCUGUAAUAAGGUCUAGGCAAUAGUGGGGAGGAAGGCAAGAACACUGGCAGAGAUCAAUGUGAUCCCAGUGGCUCAUCUUCUAAGAAGUUAAAGUUAUCAGAUAUUCUGAUGGGCACACAGCUUCUGCAAAAUUUUUACAUUGUAUUUAAAUUAAGAAGUACAUGUUCUUAGCCUGCAAAGGCUCAACAUUAAAGGCCAAACCCUUGGGUUGCAGAUAUUUUUAAAAAUCUGAAAUAAGUUGUCACAACAAUAUUGAAGUCUGUGAGAAUGGUGCUCUGUGAAAUUGUCACUGCACAGCUCGUGUAGCUGCAUACAGCAGCCCUGUAACCAAUGGUUAACCUCAUCAACAGUCUAGUCCAGUUAUUCUCAUCUGGGGAUGAUCUUCUCUCUCAGGGAAGACCCCAGGGGGAUAUUUGGCAAUGUCUGAAAACACUUUUAUUCGUCAUAACUUGUGGAGACUGUUAUCUAGUGGGAGAACUGAUAUCUAGUGGACAGAGCAAAGACACUGCUAAACAUCCUACGGUGGACGUGACAGCCCCGCUGUCUCCUGCAAUAAUAUCUGGCCCAAAAUGUCAAAGUUAAACUCUAGUCCUAGAAUCUGAGCAUUCCCUUUCCUUUCCUCUUACCAGGAAGACAUAUACAUUCUUCAGAAGCAAAAGACCACAGUGAUUUUUGUAUCACUAUGGAGCAUAGAGUUUGUACAGACUCCUAUCUCUGACCCAUUCCCUAAUCUCUCCUUUUCCUCCAUCCACCUAUGUUUCUGAUGGCAACUUGUUUUCAUCCCUAGCUGAAGAUAGAGAAAGCAGCUAUAAUCACUAAGUCAUUCAAUUAAUUACAUGAUGCAUAAAAUUAAGGUAAUUAAGAAGGAAGAAUUAGGUCAAUCCUUCUCAAUUGGCUAUACUCAACUUAUCUUGUAAGCUGUUAGUCUAACUAUGAAGCCUCCUUGGGCUCUGAAAAAUGCCCCAGUGGUAUUUCUUGCCUUCUCUGACAUUAGCAAUUUGCCAAAGGGCUUGCAAUGAGAGUUCUAUGUUAAGUAUCUAAUACCUGCAAGGCCAGUUCUGAACACAGUCCUGGCCCUCCUAAUCCACAGGUUCUGUACCAAACAUGCGUUGAAAAUAUUCAAAUUUUUUUAAAAGCUUAAAAAUAAUUAUAAAGCAAUAAAAAUAAUACAAAUAAAACACUACAGUGUAACAACUAUUUACAUAACAUUUACAUUGUAUUAGAAGUAUUG
rnacentral:lncRNA from 1 species